UAUACCGUGAAACUGCGAAUGGCUCAUUAAAUCAGUUAUCGUUUAUUUGAUAGUACCUYACUACUUGGAUAACCGUGGUAAUUCUAGAGCUAAUACAUGCUGAAAACCCCGACUUCGGGAGGGGUGUAUUUAUUAGAUAAAAAACCAACGCCCUUCGGGGCUUCUUGGUGAUUCAUGAUAACUUCACGGAUCGCAUGGCCUUGCGCCGGCGACGGUUCAUUCAAAUUUCUGCCCUAUCAACUUUCGAUGGUAAGGUAUUGGCUUACCAUGGUUUCAACGGGUAACGGGGAAUUAGGGUUCGAUUCCGGAGAGGGAGCCUGAGAAACGGCUACCACAUCCAAGGAAGGCAGCAGGCGCGCAAAUUACCCAAUCCCGACACGGGGAGGUAGUGACAAUAAAUACUGAUACAGGGCUCUUUUGGGUCUUGUAAUUGGAAUGAGUACAAUUUAAACCUCUUAACGAGGAACAAUUGGAGGGCAAGUCUGGUGCCAGCAGCCGCGGUAAUUCCAGCUCCAAUAGCGUAUAUUAAAGUUGUUGCAGUUAAAAAGCUCGUAGUUGAAACUUGGGCCUGGCUGGCAGGUCCGCCUCACCGCGUGUACUUGUCCGGCCGGGCCUUUCCUUCUGGAGAACCUCAUGCCCUUCACUGGGUGUGUUGGGGAACCAGGACUUUUACUUUGAAAAAAUUAGAGUGUUCAAAGCAGGCCUUUGCUCGAAUACGUUAGCAUGGAAUAAUAGAAUAGGACGUGCGGUCCUAUUUUGUUGGUUUCUAGGACCGCCGUAAUGAUUAAUAGGGACAGUCGGGGGCAUCAGUAUUCAAUUGUCAGAGGUGAAAUUCUUGGAUUUAUUGAAGACUAACUACUGCGAAAGCAUUUGCCAAGGAUGUUUUCAUUAAUCAGUGAACGAAAGUUAGGGGAUCGAAGACGAUCAGAUACCGUCGUAGUCUUAACCGUAAACUAUGCCGACUAGGGAUCGGGCGAUGUUCUUUUUCUGACUCGCUCGGCACCUUACGAGAAAUCAAAGUU
rnacentral:rRNA from 1 species